rnacentral:rRNA from 1 species
CUGCCACCGAAUACAUUAGCAUGGGAUAAUGGAAUAGGACCCUGUCCUCCUAUUUUCAGUUGGUUUUGGCAGCGCGAGGACUAGGGUAAUGAUUAAUAGGGAUAGUUGGGGGCAUUAAUAUUUAAUUGUCAGAGGUGAAAUUCUUGGAUUUAUGAAAGAUUAACUUCUGCGAAAGCAUCUGCCAAGGAUGUUUUCAUUAAUCAAGAACGAAAGUUAGGGGAUCGAAGACGAUCAGAUACCGUCGUAGUCUUAACCAUAAACGAUGCCGACCAGCGAUUAGGAGACGUUGAAUACAAAACACCACCAUCGGUGCGGUCGUCCUUGGCGUCGGUCUUUCGGGGCCGGCGCGGGGACGGCUUAGCCCGGUGGCACCGGUGAAUGACUCCCUGC